GAGUAGUGCAUUGGAAACUGGUAGACUGGAGUGCAGAAGAGAAGAGUAGAACUCCAUGUGUAGCGGUGAAAUGCGUAGAUAUAUGGAAGAACACCAGUGGCGAAAACGGCUCUCUGGUCUGUAACUGACGCUGAGGUUCGAAAGCGUGGGUAGCAAACAGG
rnacentral:rRNA from 1 species